GUGGGGAAUUUUGGACAAUGGGCGCAAGCCUGAUCCAGCAAUGCCGCGUGCAGGAAGAAGGCCUUCGGGUUGUAAACUGCUUUUGUACGGAACGAAACGGCUCUGGUUAAUACCCGGGGCUAAUGACGGUACCGUAAGAAUAAGCACCGGCUAACUACGUGCCAGCAGCCGCGGUAAUACGUAGGGUGCAAGCGUUAAUCGGAAUUACUGGGCGUAAAGCGUGCGCAGGCGGUUGUGUAAGACAGGCGUGAAAUCCCCGGGCUCAACCUGGGAAUUGCGCUUGUGACUGCACAGCUGGAGUGCGGCAGAGGGGGAUGGAAUUCCGCGUGUAGCAGUGAAAUGCGUAGAUAUGCGGAGGAACACCGAUGGCGAAGGCAAUCCCCUGGGCCUGCACUGACGCUCAUGCACGAAAGCGUGGGGAGCAAACAGGAUUAGAAACCCCGGUAGUCC
rnacentral:rRNA from 1 species